rnacentral:rRNA from 1 species
AGAGUUUGAUCCUGGCUCAGGAUGAACGCUGGCGGCGUGCUUAACACAUGCAAGUCGAACGAAGCACUUUAUUUGAUUUCCUUCGGGACUGAUUAUUUUGUGACUGAGUGGCGGACGGGUGAGUAACGCGUGGGUAACCUGCCUUGUACAGGGGGAUAACAGUUGGAAACGGCUGCUAAUACCGCAUAAGCGCACAGCAUCGCAUGAUGCAGUGUGAAAAACUCCGGUGGUAUAAGAUGGACCCGCGUUGGAUUAGCUAGUUGGUGAGGUAACGGCCCACCAAGGCGACGAUCCAUAGCCGACCUGGGAGGGUGACCGGCCACAUUGGGACUGAGACACGGCCCAAACUCCUACGGGAGGCAGCAGUGGGGAAUAUUGCACAAUGGGCGAAAGCCUGAUGCAGCGACGCCGCGUGAGCGAAGAAGUAUUUCGGUAUGUAAAGCUCUAUCAGCAGGGAAGAUAAUGACGGUACCUGACUAAGAAGCACCGGCUAAAUACGUGCCAGCAGCCGCGGUAAUACGUAUGGUGCAAGCGUUAUCCGGAUUUACUGGGUGUAAAGGGAGCGCAGGCGGUGCGGCAAGUCUGAUGUGAAAGCCCGGGGCUCAACCCCGGUACUGCAUUGGAAACUGUCGUACUAGAGUGCCGGAGGGGUAAGCGGAAUUCCUAGUGUAGCGGUGAAAUGCGUAGAUAUUAGGAGGAACACCAGUGGCGAAGGCGGCUUGCUGGACGACAACUGACGCUGAGGCGCGAAAGCGUGGGGAGCAAACAGGAUUAGAUACCCUGGUAGUCCACGCUGUAAACGAUGAAUACUAGGUGUGGGGGGACUGACCCCCUCCGUGCCGCAGUUAACACAAUAAGUAUUCCACCUGGGGAGUACGACCGCAAGGUUGAAACUCAAAGGAAUUGACGGGGGCCCGCACAAGCAGUGGAUUAUGUGGUUUAAUUCGACGCAACGCGAAGAACCUUACCAGGACUUGACAUCCAACUAACGAAGUAGAGAUACAUCAGGUGCCCUUCGGGGAAAGUUGAGACAGGUGGUGCAUGGUUGUCGUCAGCUCGUGUCGUGAGAUGUUGGGUUAAGUCCCGCAACGAGCGCAACCCCUAUUGUUAGUUGCUACGAAAGAGCACUCUAGCGAGACUGCCGUUGACAAAACGGAGGAAGGCGGGGACGACGUCAAAUCAUCAUGCCCCUUAUGUCCUGGGCUACACAGGUAAUACAAUGGUGGCCAACAGAGGGAAGCGAAGCCGUGAGGCGGAGCAAAUCCCUAAAAGCCAUCUCAGUUCGGAUUGCAGGCUGCAACUCGCCUGCAUGAAGCUGGAAUUGCUAGUAAUCGCGGAUCAGCAUGCCGCGGUGAAUACGUUCCCGGGCCUUGUACACACCGCCCGUCACACCAUGAGAGUCGGGAACACCCGAAGUCCGUAGUCUAACCGCAAGGGGGGCGCGGCCGAAGGUGGGUCCGGUAAUUGGGGUGAAGUCGUAACAAGGUA